rnacentral:rRNA from 1 species
CCCUUAGAUGUCCUGGGCCGCACGCGCGCUACACUGAGUGUCUGAGAUACGAGUCUGCCUGGUCCGGCAAGGUCUAGGUAAUCGCUAAAAGACACAUCAUGCUUGGGAUAGAUUAUUGCAAAUAUUAAUCUUGAACGAGGAAUUCCUAGUAAGCGCAAGUCAACAGCUUGCGUUGAUUACGUCCCUGCCCUUUGUACACACCGCCCGUCGCUACUACUGAUUGGAUGUUUAAGCGAGGUUCUCGAACUGCUAGCGACUUAGCUUCGGUGAGGUCGCAGUGCGGGAAGUGAACCGAGCUUUGGUGUCUAGAGGAAGUAAAAGUCGUAACA